UGCGGUUAUACAAAAAUUAAAUUAAAUUUUUUUAGGAUUUAAUUAAUAAAAUUAAAAUUAAUAAUUUAAAUUUUAAAUUAUAAAGUGAAAUUUUAAAUUUAAUUAAAAUUUAUUUAUUUUUAUGAUAUUAAUAAAUUUUAUAAAAAACUAGGAUUAGAUACCCUAUUAUAAAAAUUUAAAUUUAAAUAAUCUUAAAAUAGUAUAUAAUUUUUUAUAGAAACUUAAAUAAUUUGGCGGUAUUUUAGUUCAUUUAGAGGAAUCUGUCUAAUAAUUGAUAAUCCACGAUUAAAUUUACUUAAUUUUUAAUUUUGUAUAUCGUUGUUAAAAAAAUAUUUUUAAAUGAUUUUAAUAUUUUAAAAUUUAUAUAAAAAAUUAAAUCAGAUCAAGAUGCAGAUUAUAAUUAAGAAUAUGAUGGAUUACAAUAAAUUUUAUUUUAUUUGGAUAUUAGUUUGAAAUAAAUUGAUUGAAAUUGGAUUUAAAUGUAAUUUUAUUUAUUUUAAUAAAAUGAUUAAAAAUUAAAAUAUGUACAUAUUGCCCGUCGCUUUCAUUAAUAAAUUGAAAUAAGUCGUAACAAAGUAGAGGUACUGGAAAGUGUUUCUAGAAAGAU
rnacentral:rRNA from 1 species